CUGGGAGUAACUUCGGGAAACCGGGAAGCUAAUACCGGAUAAUAUAUUGAACCGCAUGGUUCAAUAGUGAAAGAACGGUUUUGUCUGUCACUUAUAGAUGGAUCCGCGCCGCAUUAGCUAGUUGGUAAGGUAACGGCUUACCAAGGCAACGAUGCGUAGCCGACCUGAGAGGGUGAUCGGCCACACUGGAACUGAGACACGGUCCAGACUCCUACGGUACGGGAGGCAGCAGGU
rnacentral:rRNA from 1 species